GACUCGGUGGCGGAAGGCCCGCAUCUCCUCCUGCUACACUGUUUGAUGGUAUCAUCAACGGAGAAGCCGCCCGUUCGAUUCGGGCUCGAGUCG